CAGUAGCCACGGUAAUACGAGGGGGGCAAGCGUUGUUCGGAAUUAUUGGGCGUAAAGGGCGCGUAGGCGGUUUGACAAGUCUUAUGUGAAAUCUUCGGGCUCAACUCGAAGUCUGCAUGGGAAACUGUCGGGCUUGAGUAUGGGAGAGGUGAGUGGAAUUUCCGGUGUAGCGGUGAAAUGCGUAGAUAUCGGAAGGAACACCUGUGGCGAAAGCGGCUCACUGGACCAUAACUGACGCUGAGGCGCGAAAGCUAGGGGAGCAAACAGGAUUAGAUACCCGCGUAGUCCCUGUCUCUUAUAA
rnacentral:rRNA from 1 species